UGGGGAAUUUUUGACAAUGGGGGAAAACCUGAUCCAGCCAUCCCGCGUGUGCGAUGAAGGCCUUCGGGUUGUAAAGCACUUUUGGCAGGAAAGAAACGUCAUGGGUUAAUACCCCGUGAAACUGACGGUACCUGCAGAAUAAGCACCGGCUAAAUACGUGCCAGCAGCCGCGGUAAUACGUAGGGUGCAAGCGUUAAUCGGAAUUACUGGGCGUAAAGCGUGCGCAGGCGGUUCGGAAAGAAAGAUGUGAAAUCCCAGAGCUCAACUUUGGAACUGCAGUUUUAACUACCUGGCUAGAGUGUGUCAGAGGGAGGGGGAAUUCCGCGUGUAGCAGUGAAAUGCGUAGAUAUGCGGAGGAACACCGAUGGCGAAGGCAGCCUCCUGGGAUAACACUGACGCUCAUGCACGAAAGCGUGGGGAGCAAACAGG
rnacentral:rRNA from 1 species